rnacentral:rRNA from 1 species
UGCGCAGGCGGUAUGUUAAGUUUAAGUUUAAAGCGUUGAGCUCAACUCAAUGAUGGCUUAAAAACUAGCAAACUAGAGUGCAGAAGAGGGUAGUGGAAUUCCAUGUGUAGCGGUAAAAUGCGUAGAUAUAUGGAGGAACACCAGUGGCGAAGGCGACUACCUGGUCUGUAACUGACGCUCAUGCACGAAAGCGUGGGGAGCAAACAGGAUUAGAUACCCUGGUAGUCC